ensembl:lncRNA
UUUAUUUCUUGCAUUAUUCAUAGUCUUAACACUUCCGGCUGACAUUUUUCUCUCGUCUUCCUUUUCGCACCUUAAUUAGGGAUGCUGGGAGAACUAUACAGGAAAGAAGGCCAUCAGUUGGAUUUGCUGAUCUAGCAUUUCUCCUGCUCCGACUGAUUGUCUGCCAUCUAGCUGAUGUAAGACCAGCCCGUGGUGUGACAUACUGAAACUUCCAGGCAGUAAGAUGGAGUUUUGGAGGAUCGUAAGACCACUGGUGUAGGAUAUGAGACACUGCUUUGGGCAGUAGCAAAGAUGACAGAACGCUCUCAAGAAUGACUCACAGAUGGAGAAAGCACAAGAAAACGAGGGUUUGGAAAGGGAAAGCCAGCGAACAGCGUGAGCAGUGCAGCGCUGGAGCAUGUGUGUCUUGUUCUUCCCCAAUUAUCCUGUGUUUAAAAGCCCUAGUCCUUUCAGUCAGUGUUCUGAACGUCCUUCCAUGUGUUCCUAUGUUCCCCUUGUGAUUGGAUUAUUCAAGACCGUGAUAUUGAGGGCCACACCAGACUGUUCCUGGUCCUGGCAAGCCUCACUAACUAUCCGCGAUGCACUGUGCGUUCUACGAUGCCAGUUUGAACAUCACAUGCAGAGCGCCGUCGUCCGAGGAUGGUCCUUGAGCAAAUUUCGCCACCUUCGUGGAGUAGACACUGGCGAGAAAUGGAUCUCUGUUGCCCGCCGGUUCCCAGGAGUUUAUCACCAGUGCCAUUCUUGACCCAGAGCUCAGCCCACCAUCUCCCCGCAGCACGGAGCAUCAGCCCGAGCCCACUGAUGACCGAUUCCCGCCACGAUCUGCAAGCCAGAGCAAAGCCAAGCGACUGAGCAGAGGAUCGCCCCGGAAGUUGAGCCCAACCUGUCAGACCAGGUUCGAGAGCCGGCUACAGAGCCCAACAUGAGGGAGAAAUCCGCAGAUGGUGUGAGCGCAGAGAGGAGCUGAGGGUGAGCUGAGUAUGGUGUGGCGUUGGUGCCAAAACGAAGAGGGGAGGGCUCCAGCCCCUGAAUCCAAUUCAGAGGGCCCUCCAGUGCCCACUCCUCGAAAAUACCUGCCCUCCCACCUGCUCCAGUCUCUUCCACUGCUGUCGUCUGGCUGCCCUCUGCUCGCCCUCAGCCCACCCUCAUUAUGGUGCGAGCCCCGCGGGACUGCCAUCCUCCAGCGUCACCCUGGUCGGAGUCUUCCUCACCUACGCCUCCGAGGCCCGUACUCCACCUUGGCCCGUAGACCUAGCGGCUCCACCUCGGCUCCUAGCUCCCUCACCUCCACCAUCACCCGUCGAUCCAUCAGCUCCACAGAGCUCCCUCAUCCCCCCAGCUCCGCCUUGGUCGGGUGUCGCCCUGCCAUUGCCUCUGGACUCCUCUCCUCUGGUUGCGCCUCAUCGCUCUGUCCCACCGGCUCUAUUGGGCUCCUUCCUCCCACAAGCUCCACCUUGGUUCUCUGUCGCUCCGGCUACGCCAUGGAUCUCUGGAUCUUCGCCUUCGCCUUGGUCACCAGAGCCCUCGGCUCCACCCUGCCCCCCCCCCCCCCCUGGCUCGUUGGCUCUCCAUCUCAGGCUCCUCUUCCACCUGCUCCACCGCCAUUGGUCGGCCCCCUCCUCCAUGGCUCCUCCCACCGUCGGCUCCACCGUGGGCCACUGUUAUGGCUGUGGCCUGGGUCUUGUUGUGCUCCUCCUGCUCUGGGUCCCUCCUGUCUCCUCCCUCCUUCGUCGCCCCCCGGUCUCUGUCUGCCGGCCUACUCUUGGAUAUCCGUCCUCCUCCAGAACCUCCCAAGUUCCCACCCACGCCUCCCUCUGUUGUUGCUACGGUGCAAGGACGCACCUUCCUUGCUCCCUGUGACCCAGUUUCUGUCUCCCGUUGAUUGUGUUAAUUUGAUUCCAGGUGUGUCUAGUUCUUCCCAAAUUAUCCUGAGUUUAAAAGCCCUAGUCCUUUCAGUCAGUGUUUG